UUUCUUGUUUUUGAUUUUUGGUCACACCGCAUGGUCUGUAGGGUAUCCCUGUCCAGGGAUAGAACCCAGGCCCCUGGCAGUGAAAGCGCAGAGUCCUAACCACUGGACCAGCAGGGAAUUCCUAAGAGCUGUGUUAUGGACACAUCCAGUUCGUUAUGCUCUCAGGUCUCUAGGGAGGGCCAAGCAGGCAGCUGGACAGACAGGUUGGAGUUCAGAGUCAAGGCUAGAGGCCUCAAGUGGAGACCCACAGGCAUGUUGAUGGUGGUCAGAAUUACAGGACCAGGUCGCCGGAGGAAUGAGACACAGAAAGGAGGUCGAGGGUGCCUGUGCUGGGAUUCUCCAAUGGGAAAAGCUGGGACAACAGCCCACAGGCCAACAAGGGAGGUCACAAAGGAGACACAAGGAAAGCCCACCUGACCCGGGUCUGCACCAACCACCCCUGUACCCUUGGGCAAGCUGNNNNNNNNNNNNNNNNNNNNNCUUCCUCUCUGAAACCAGAGAGGGGGGACCCAGCCCCACCCCCAUCCAGCACUGAGGUGCCUCCAGCCUGUGGCCCCUUGCCGGAUGAAGAAACCGAAGCUCAACCUUGCCAACCUUGCUUCCAGGCCUCCUACAGUCCGGCUUACGUCAGAUGAAAUACAAAAAUAUAGCAAAACCCAGCCCAAAGGGCCACCAGCCAAGGGUCGGGUGCCAAAGCAAGAUCGUGGUGCCCUGGAUUAGAAUCCAGACUCUCCCACUUGUCAGCUGGGUAACCCCAACCCCCAGAGGGUCCUUAUCUGUGAAAGUGGCCGGUGGUCCCCAGCAGGAGGGGUUGUUGCUAGAAAGGAGCCAGGUAGCGAGUAGAGCACCCGCAUGGCUCCCGGCAUGCGUGCCUCCGGGCCAGCUCCUUUCCCCCUCUAGGGAGAUUCCUUCCCUGAAUCAGAAGAGAGGGGUUCCAGGUGCCUCUACCCUUGCAGGAUAAUGCGGUCCUGCUGCACUCAGGCCUGGGCUGCGGGCUCUGCGUCACCCCUGCCGCUCACCUGCAGGCACGUGGCUGCCACGGCAGGAAUCAGGUGUCUGCAGAGACCGGCUAGCCAGUCAUCUGCUGGAUCCUGCCUGGGGCGCCACGGGGACUAGGAGGAGGGAGGGGACAUGGGCUCCUGAUCUGGCUGUGGCUGUGGACCAGCGCCACUUUCCAGGGGUCAUUAGCGUGACUGGCAAAGGGCAGUGAUGUGACAGCAGGGAAACGCUUUAGCAGAGAGCAAGCUGGAGCUCGGGCCAGUGUGUUCAGCCCGAUGACGGCUCCUGGCUCCGUGUCUCCUGGAAGCACCCGGGGGGAGGGCGGGUGGGGGAGGCAGAAACUGCAGCCACUGGAGCCUGGAUUCCUGGCCCGGCUCAGUCACGAUUAGACUAAUGACUCCACUUAGGGGGCACCUCCGCCGUGCCAGACGCCGGGCCAGUGCUCUAUGUAAGGGCUCGCCAAACCCCUGCAAGGCCAGUGAACAUGUUCCUACUGAAAAGAUGAGGAAACUGAGGCAGGGGGAGGUCCAAGGUCCCCCAGC
rnacentral:lncRNA from 1 species